AUUGAACGCUGGCGGAAUGCUUUACACAUGCAAGUCGAACGGCAGCACGGACUUCGGUCUGGUGGCGAGUGGCGAACGGGUGAGUAAUAUAUCGGAACGUAUCCAAUAAUGGGGGAUAACUAAUCGAAAGGUUGGCUAAUACCGCAUACGUCAUACGGGAGAAAGCUAGGGACCUUAGGGCCUGGCGUUAAUGGAGCGGCCGAUAUCGGAUUAGCUAGUUGGUGAGGUAAAGGCUCACCAAGGCGACGAUCCGUAGCUGGUCUGAGAGGACGACCAGCCACACUGGAACUGAGACACGGUCCAGACUCCUACGGGAGGCAGCAGUGGGGAAUUUUGGACAAUGGGCGAAAGCCUGAUCCAGCCAUUCCGCGUGAGUGAAGAAGGCCUUCGGGUUGUAAAGCUCUUUCGCAAGAGAAGAAAACUUACCCUCUACCAUAGGGUGAGGUUGACGGUAUCUUGAUAAGAAGCACCGGCUAACUACGUGCCAGCCGCCGCGGUAA
rnacentral:rRNA from 1 species